rnacentral:rRNA from 1 species
CCUACGGGUGGCUGCAGUGGGGAAUAUUGCGCAAUGGGCGAAAGCCUGACGCAGCGACGCCGCGUGAGGGAUGAAGGUCUUCGGAUCGUAAACCUCUGUCAGCAGGGAAGAACGGUCACUGUGCUAAUCAGCCGUGAAUUGACGGUACCUGCACAGGAAGCACCGGCUAACUCCGUGCCAGCAGCCGCGGUAAUACGGAGGGUGCGAGCGUUAAUCGGAUUUACUGGGCGUAAAGCGCGCGUAGGCGGUAUGUCAAGUCAAGGGUGAAAUCCCCGCGCUCAACGUGGGAACGGCAUUUGAAACUGGCAAACUGGAGUGUGUGAGAGGAGAGUGGAAUUCCAGGUGUAGGAGUGAAAUGCGUAGAUAUCUGGAGGAACAUCAGUGGCGAAGGCGACUAUCUGGCACAUAACUGACGCUGAGGAGCGAAAGCGUGGGUAGCAAACAGGAUUAGAUACCCGUGUAGUC